rnacentral:rRNA from 1 species
CGAGCGGUAUUGUUUCUUCGGAAAUGAGAGAGCGGCGUACGGGUGCGGAACACGUGUGCAACCUGCCUUUAUCUGGGGGAUAGCCUUUCGAAAGGAAGAUUAAUACCCCAUAAUAUAUUUGUUGGCAUCAAUGAAUAUUGAAAACUCCGGUGGAUAGAGAUGGGCACGCGCAAGAUUAGAUAGUUGGUGAGGUAACGGCUCACCAAGUCUGCGAUCUUUAGGGGGCCUGAGAGGGUGAUCCCCCACACUGGUACUGAGACACGGACCAGACUCCUACGGGAGGCAGCAGUGAGGAAUAUUGGACAAUGGGUGAGAGCCUGAUCCAGCCAUCCCGCGUGAAGGACGACGGCCCUAUGGGUUGUAAACUUCUUUUGUAUAGGGAUAAACCUACUCUCGUGAGAGUAGCUGAAGGUACUAUACGAAUAAGCACCGGCUAACUCCGUGCCAGCAGCCGCGGUAAUACGGAGGGUGCAAGCGUUAUCCGGAUUUAUUGGGUUUAAAGGGUCCGUAGGCGGAUCUGUAAGUCAGUGGUGAAAUCUCACAGCUUAACUGUGAAACUGCCAUUGAUACUGCAGGUCUUGAGUGUUGUUGAAGUAGCUGGAAUAAGUAGUGUAGCGGUGAAAUGCAUAGAUAUUACUUAGAACACCAAUUGCGAAGGCAGGUUACUAAGCAACAACUGACGCUGAUGGACGAAAGCGUGGGGAGCGAACAGGAUUAGAUACCCUGGUAGUCCACGCCGUAAACGAUGCUAACUCGUUUUUGGGCUUUCGGGCUCAGAGACUAAGCGAAAGUGAUAAGUUAGCCACCUGGGGAGUACGUUCGCAAGAAUGAAACUCAAAGGAAUUGACGGGGGCCCGCACAAGCGGUGGAUUAUGUGGUUUAAUUCGAUGAUACGCGAGGAACCUUACCAAGGCUUAAAUGGGAAAUGACAGGUUUAGAAAUAGACUUUUCUUCGGACAUUUUUCAAGGUGCUGCAUGGUUGUCGUCAGCUCGUGCCGUGAGGUGUUAGGUUAAGUCCUGCAACGAGCGCAACCCCUGUCACUAGUUGCCAUCAUUAAGUUGGGGACUCUAGUGAGACUGCCUACGCAAGUAGAGAGGAAGGUGGGGAUGACGUCAAAUCAUCACGGCCCUUACGCCUUGGGCCACACACGUAAUACAAUGGCCAGUACAGAGGGCAGCUACACAGCGAUGUGAUGCAAAUCUCGAAAGCUGGUCUCAGUUCGGAUUGGAGUCUGCAACUCGACUCUAUGAAGCUGGAAUCGCUAGUAAUCGCGCAUCAGCCAUGGCGCGGUGAAUACGUUCCCGGGCCUUGUACACGCCGCCCGUCAAGCCAUGGAAGUCUGGGGUACCUGAAGUCGGUGACC